GGCUUACCGUGGUAGCUAUGGCGGCCAGCAGGGCACAAUGGCUCGGGCAGCUUGGAAGAUAACGCGCUUGCAAACCGCGCUGGGGCUGCUAACGGGGAGUUCGCGUGAACUCGCUGCGGUGAAUGCUGGGUAAUGGUACUGUAUUAUGCUUCGGAUUUUAUGCACGAAAAUCCACACUGAAAAAGUGCACUAUAAUCCGCUACAUAUUAAGGGAAGAGCUGCACCUAGAACACUUGACCAAUGUACAGGGACGUCACUGGCCUAGGAAGAGGCAUAAAUGCUCACAGGGUGCAGCAGCCUCUUCAAACAGCUGAUCGGCGGGCGUCCUGGCUGUAUU